UGUUGGUGGCACUGAUAAGAGAAAAAGACAAGAAUCACAUAUGAAACAAGCAUAGUUCAUAGGCUCCCUUUUGUUUUUUUUUUCUAUUUCAAUUGUUUCUUUUCAAAUUUUUUUUCUGCUUCACUUAUUUUUUUUUUUUAAAUUUUCACCGGUGUCACCUGACACACCGGUGACACCCAUUAAAAAAUAUUAUAUUUCUUCAUGAAUACUUAUAUUUUUC
rnacentral:lncRNA from 1 species